rnacentral:lncRNA from 1 species
AAGAACAGAACCUUCUUCUAAUGCAUUCCGUAUAAAUUCAACGAGGAAUUAAAGUGGUUCUUUGCCAAGAGAGUGGCUGAUACGGCUGCAUUCAAGAGCAUGUAAGCAUCUAAUGUGCAUGCACUGAACUUCUUCAAGGGACAAGAACCUGGCUCCUGAGGCCUGUGGGCUUCCACUUGACACCAGGAAUUCUAAAGUGCCCACACUCAAAAGAAGUCAUUCUCUUCCCCGGUGUCCUGAUUGAAAAAGAGUCACAUUGGAAAAUGUGCUGUAUCCAUUAACCUUUUUGCAAAGAGCAGAAGGUCCACAGAGUUUGUCAGCAUGGCGUAUACUGUACUGUAGGAAAACAUACAUAAAUAA